GCCCGCUCAGAAACUUAAAGGCAUUGACGGGGGCCCGCACAAGCGGUGGAGCAUGUGGUUUAAUUCGAUGAUACGCGAGGAACCUUACCUGGGCUCAAAUGUAUGUUGACGUAUUCUGAAAGGGAUACUUCUUCGGACAAUAUACAAGGUGCUGCAUGGUUGUCGUCAGCUCGUGCCGUGAGGUGUCGGGUUAAGUCCCAUAACGAGCGCAACCCCUAUCAUUAGUUGCCAUCAGGUCAAGCUGGGGACUCUAAUGAAACUGCCUACGCAAGUAGUGAGGAAGGCGGGGAUGACGUCAAAUCAGCACGGCCCUUACGUCCAGGGCUACACACGUGCUACAAUGGCCGAUACAGAGGGCAGCUACCUGGUGACAGGAUGCAAAUCUCCAAAGUCGGUCUCAGUUCGGAUCGGAGUCUGCAACCCGACUCCGUGAAGUUGGAUUCGCUAGUAAUCGCGCAUCAGCCAUGGCGCGGUGAAUACGUUCCCGGGCCUU
rnacentral:rRNA from 1 species